AGGCCCUACGGGGCGCAGCAGGCGCGAAAACUUUACAAUGCGGGAAACCGUGAUAAGGGGACACCGAGUGCCAGCAUCAUAUGCUGGCUGUCCAGAUGUGUAAAAUACAUCUGUUAGCAAGGGCCGGGCAAGACCAGUGCCAGCCGCCGCGGUAACACCGACGGCCCGAGUGGUGAUCGUGAUUAUUGGGUCUAAAGGGUCCGUAGCCGGUUUGGUCAGUCCUCCGGGAAAUCUGAUGGCUCAACCAUUAGGCUUUCGGGGGAUACUGCCAGGCUUGGAACCGGGAGAGGUAAGAGGUACUACAGGGGUAGGAGUGAAAUCUUGUAAUCCCUGUGAGACCACCUGUGGCGAAGGCGUCUUACCAGAACGGGUUCGACGGUGAGGGACGAAAGCUGGGGGCACGAACCGGAUUAGAUACCCGGGUAGUCCCAGCCGUAAACGAUGCUCGCUAGGUGUCAGGCAUGGCGCGACCGUGUCUGGUGCCGCAGGGAAGCCGUGAAGCGAGCCACCUGGGAAGUACGGCCGCAAGGCUGAAACUUAAAGGAAUUGGCGGGGGAGCACAACAACGGGUGGAGCCUGCGGUUUAAUUGGACUCAACGCCGGACAACUCACCGGGGACGACAGCAAUAUGUAGGCCAG
rnacentral:rRNA from 1 species